rnacentral:rRNA from 1 species
GAUGAACGCUGGCGGCGUGCCUAAUACAUGCAAGUCGAGCGAACGGACGAGAAGCUUGCUUCUCUGAUGUUAGCGGCGGACGGGUGAGUAACACGUGGAUAACCUACCUAUAAGACUGGGAUAACUUCGGGAAACCGGAGCUAAUACCGGAUAAUAUUUUGAACCGCAUGGUUCAAAAGUGAAAGACGGUCUUGCUGUCACUUAUAGAUGGAUCCGCGCUGCAUUAGCUAGUUGGUAAGGUAACGGCUUACCAAGGCAACGAUGCAUAGCCGACCUGAGAGGGUGAUCGGCCACACUGGAACUGAGACACGGUCCAGACUCCUACGGGAGGCAGCAGUAGGGAAUCUUCCGCAAUGGGCGAAAGCCUGACGGAGCAACGCCGCGUGAGUGAUGAAGGUCUUCGGAUCGUAAAACUCUGUUAUUAGGGAAGAACAUAUGUGUAAGUAACUGUGCACAUCUUGACGGUACCUAAUCAGAAAGCCACGGCUAACUACGUGCCAGCAGCCGCGGUAAUACGUAGGUGGCAAGCGUUAUCCGGAAUUAUUGGGCGUAAAGCGCGCGUAGGCGGUUUUUUAAGUCUGAUGUGAAAGCCCACGGCUCAACCGUGGAGGGUCAUUGGAAACUGGAAAACUUGAGUGCAGAAGAGGAAAGUGGAAUUCCAUGUGUAGCGGUGAAAUGCGCAGAGAUAUGGAGGAACACCAGUGGCGAAGGCGACUUUCUGGUCUGUAACUGACGCUGAUGUGCGAAAGCGUGGGGAUCAAACAGGAUUAGAUACCCUGGUAGUCCACGCCGUAAACGAUGAGUGCUAAGUGUUAGGGGGUUUCCGCCCCUUAGUGCUGCAGCUAACGCAUUAAGCACUCCGCCUGGGGAGUACGACCGCAAGGUUGAAACUCAAAGGAAUUGACGGGGACCCGCACAAGCGGUGGAGCAUGUGGUUUAAUUCGAAGCAACGCGAAGAACCUUACCAAAUCUUGACAUCCUUUGACAACUCUAGAGAUAGAGCCUUCCCCUUCGGGGGACAAAGUGACAGGUGGUGCAUGGUUGUCGUCAGCUCGUGUCGUGAGGUGUUGGGUUAAGCCCCGCAACGAGCGCAACCCUUAAGCUUAGUUGCCAUCAUUAAGUUGGGCACUCUAAGUUGACUGCCGGUGACAAACCGGAGGAAGGUGGGGAUGACGUCAAAUCAUCAUGCCCCUUAUGAUUUGGGCUACACACGUGCUACAAUGGACAAUACAAAGGGCAGCGAAACCGCGAGGUCAAGCAAAUCCCAUAAAGUUGUUCUCAGUUCGGAUUGUAGUCUGCAACUCGACUACAUGAAGCUGGAAUCGCUAGUAAUCGUAGAUCAGCAUGCUACGGUGAAUACGUUCCCGGGUCU